AGGUGGGUCACCUGGGGAUCUCAGUAGAAUACAGAUUCUGAUUUAGUAGGUCUGCAUAAUGGGGUCUGAGAUUCUGCAUUUCUCACAAGUUCCCAGGAGAUACUGAC
rnacentral:miRNA from 1 species